rnacentral:misc_RNA from 1 species
AAAGGGGAAUACCCUUUGGUGAAUUGAUCAAAUGCUUCAGGUAGAGAAAUGAAAGGGAGCUCUUUAGAUCUUAAUUUCUGUAUAAAAUGCCAGCAAGAAGUUAACACAUCUUUCGGAUCGCGAAAGACGUAUACUAUCUUGCAGUCAGCCAACUCUGAUAAAGAAUUGUAAGCAAGAUGUGAAUGCAUUAGACAAGUGUUUGGUGUAGGAUUUGUUGGGUGGUUAAAUGCAUAAGCCUCUAAGUGUGGUACUAACUCAUGUGGAUUUGAAGAGAGCAAAGGGUGUGUGUUGAAAUCUAUUUCACCUCUGUUUUUAAUAGCAAAGAGAAGUGCCUUAAGCCAUGUAGUGCCAGAUUUUGGGAAACUUGCUAGUAAGACAGUGUUUGGUUUUGGCUUGAAAUGUUGCUGUUCAAGUGCUAGCAGACCUUGAACAACUUGUGUAGCAUACCAAAAGCCUUUGUAUUGGUGAAUAUGUUCACUCAGCCAACCUCUUUCUUUUGGUAGCUCAGAGAGUAUAAUUUGUUCUUUGGUGACACCAGUUGUGAGCAAAGGGAUAGAGGAUAAACUUGCCAUUAUUGAGUUUAAUGGAGCA